CAAUAGCCAAGACAUGGAAACAACCUAAAUGUCCAUAGACAGAGGAGUGGAUCAAGAAGAAGUAGUACAUACACACAAUGGAAUAUUAUUCAGCCAUUAAAAGGAACGAAAUACUGGCAUUUGCAGCAACAUGGAUGGACCUAGAAAUUAUCAUGCUAAGUGAAGUCAGUCAGACAAUGAGACACCAACUGCAAAUGAUUUCAUUGACAUGUGGAAUCUCAAAAAAGGACAGACUGAACUUCUUUGCAGAGCAGAUGCUGACUCACAGACUUUGAAAAACUUAUGGUCUCCAAAGGAGACAGUACAUGGGGUGGGGAGAUGUGCUGGGGUUGUGGGAUGGAAAUCCUAUAAAAUUGGAUUAUGAUGAUCAUUGUACAACUAUAAAUGUAAUAAAUUCAUUGAGUAAUGAAAAAAUAGAGGAGUGAUAGGAAACAGAAAAAAGAAAGAAAUGAACAAAGACCAAAAGAAAGUAUGACAUGGAGAUAGAAAAAAAGGAGAAAGAAAAACUUUCAGCAAAAAUGAAAUGAGUGAGUGGCAGGAUUGAAUUAUGAGAUGUUGGCAAAGGGCCAAAAAACUGUCCAAAAACAAAGACCAAAAUAAUAUAGAUGCUUGGCUGUGAAUUAAAGGAGGAAAGAAAAUCAAGGAUAUGUCAAACGUAUAUUAAAAGACCUCUCCUCGAAAGGCAGAUGGGCGAAUGUACAUUACCUCUGUCCUAAAUUUGGUUAUUUGUGUGUGUGGGUGUGCGUGCGCACACAAUUAUGCUUAACUUUCUGACAAUUUCUACUCCCUAAAAAGUGGUGAGUUUAGGUAAUGAAAACAUUCUCAAAAAUGUAUCAUACUCAGCCUUUUUUUUUUUUUUUUAAUAGGCCAAUUGUUAGGCCUUCACUCAGGACCUAAACUGAACAAGCAAAUAAUUUGGUGUCCUUUGAAAGUAAUCUUUAAGCAGUUUUCAUUCAAAUUGACUUAGUGAACACAGAGAGAUAUUAGUUUUCUAUUAAUAACUAUUAUAGCCACAUAUGAAUUUGCUUACUAAUUUGCUUCCUGUGACUGAAGUAAAAAAAGCAAAGUGUUUUCUAAUUCUUGAGAUUUACAUUCCACUUUCAAUUUCUAAAUUUUUUUUCUGAACCAAGUACAUUUGGAACUCAUCAUAGUAGAGUGAUUAAAAUUUAUAUAAUAAGGAAAAUCACUCGUUCCCAGUAAAUAGCACUAUGCAAUCAUUAUUUUGUUACAGAACUUUAGUUGCUGCUGACUGCCAAGUUCAGGUGACUCUCUAUGAGCUAGCUUCAGAGUUGGCUGUCAAGGAGUUUUUUUGUUUUUUUUUUUUAAAUAAAUUUCCAUUCAGGACAUCACCACUUUGGUGGGAGCAGGACCAAUAUUCAUUUUGCCAAUAAUAUAAGGAAUGGCUUGUGGAAACCUGAGUUUCUUGGCACCAUAUAUUUGAUUUAUUCCACUGAAGUUUUAGCGCCCCUUACAGAUUAGCACCCCUGGUGAGAACCAGCUGGCCCUUAAUCCACUUGUCCCUCACUCAGAGUGCAUUUGCUAUUCAAUGUUGUACUGGACUUCUUAGCACAUGUACAAGAAAUAGGAGGUGUAAGGAUUAGAAAGAGAAAAACAAAAUUGUCAGUAUUCUCAGACACUUCGUUUAACUAUAGGAAAAAAAAAUCUGAGUGAAUCUUUAAGGACAAAUUCAAGUUUAGCUAGAUUGUAUGAUUAAUGGUGCUUCUGCACACCAUCAACAAACAAAAAGGAAAACUCAUGAGAUGAGAUGUUUCCAUUCCGAACACAGGAAUGUACCUAUUAAUAAGUUCAACAAAAUCUAUGCAAAGACAUCAUGAAGACAUUUAGAAAAUUUAUUGAAAGACAUCAAAGAAGAUCCACCCAAAUAAAGUGGAUCAUGCACAAGGAUGUGAAUACUCGAUAUUUUAACUGUAUACCAUUAUCUCUAAAUUAGUCUAUAAAUGUCAUACAAGUGCAAACAAAAUCCCACUUCUUUUAAUGUAAAUUGACUGAUCUAAACUCCUCAUGGGAUGGUAAGGAUCAAGAACAGCCAGUGAUUUAAAAGAAUAAGAAUAAGAACUUAGCACUGAUUCUGUCACAAAAUAUAUUAUGAAAUUACGGUAAUUAAAACUGUGACAUAGCAGUAGAAAUAGACAAAAAGAUAAUUGGACUAAAUUAAGAACUAUGCAAGAGCCUCAAAUGUAAAAGGGAACAGAAUUUGUGAUAGGAAGGACAUUACAUAUCAGGAAGGGAAAGAAUGACAUAAUAAAUGGUAAAACUGUGCAGUUAUUUGCCUUUUAUUAUAUAAAAGAAAAAUACACUUCUCUCUCUCAUAAUAAUAAAAAUACAUUCCAAGUGGAUAAUAACCAGAGGUCUCCUGUGGUGCAGCAGUUUAAGGAUCCAGCAUUGUAACUCCAGUGGCUUGGGUCACUGCUGUGGAGCAGGUUCCAUCCCUGAACCAGGAACUUCUGCAUGCCCCAGGCAUGGCCAAACAAACAAACCGAUGGAUAAAAACCUAAAUGUGGAGAGUAAAACUUUGAAAUUUUGAGAAGAAAAUGUACUGACUUGGCUUAUGAUCUCAGGUUAGAGAGUAACGUUGGAAAAAUGCACAGGAAGCACAAAUCAUAAAGAAGAUCAUUGAUAAAUUUGAUGACAUUCCAAGAAAAUUUCUUUUGUGACUCAAAAAAAAAUACUGUAAAAAGUUAAAUGCAGUGUAUACAACCAACAAUGAUUAGUCUUCAGAGUAAAUUAAUAAAUGCAUGUCUAUAAAUCAUCAGGAAAGGCAACCAGAUGAAAAGAAAAAUCAGCAAUAAGGUUGUGAACACUCAAUCCACAGGAGGAAAAAAUUCCUGGGCUCAACAAACAUUUGGAAGGUCCUCAACUUUAGAAUUCAUUGGGCAUAGUGGGGAGUGUGGGUUCCAUUCUUUCUGUCCUCUUUGGAAAGUGUAGAAACUAAAAAUACAUUCUAGACACUCACUGAGAGGAUUCCAGAUGGAAAUAGGUCCUGUCUGUUAGAUGGAUUCAGCGGAGGUUCCCAAGACAGAGAGAAGAGGGAACCAGUUUUCCCCAUCCCUUUUGGUGGUUUGGCAGGCACACGGAGUAGAAGCAAAUGUCUGCCUCAGCCUCCCAGUGUCUCUUCUCCAGCUGCCUGGGUUGUGAGGAGCAUUUGUAGUGGACGCAGUGGUAGAAGGGACCUUCCGGUCACCGAUUGGAGGCAAUGGAGUGUGUGAUUUCAACUCAUGAUUUCCAGAAGUAGCCUCUGAAUUGGUGGUGUUACUAAAAGGGCAGUUCAGUUCUGCUUUGCUAUGGUAUUAGGCUCUUCCUCCAACUCUUCCAGUAAUUUUGUAAAUUCCCCAAUUCUCUAUUAACCUCUUCCUUCUCAUUAUACACAGGGAGCCUUUUAUUUUUCCUGCCCCAAAUAUUGAUCGAUGCAAAAAAUAAAUACUAAUUAAUACCCUGCUACUUUCACAGCCUUCCUAUAUAGACAAUAAUAUUAAAGUCUGAGUAUAACCAAACAUGGCUAAGGAGAGCUGGAAGUAGAGUUGAAUGAGAAAGCUAUCAUUUGUAAUUUUUAAAAUCAAAAGGGAGAGAGAAUAGGCAUUGUAGUUUAGUGACUAAGGGCACAGGUUUCGGAUCCAUGUAAAUAAUGGUUCAAAUCAUGGCUCAUCUACUAACUCUGGCAAGUCCCUUUAUCUAAAUUUCAGUGUCCUCAGCUCUAAUAUGUAGAAAAUAGUAUCUACCUGCAGUGUGAGAAUUAAAUGCAAUAAUGAAUUAAUGUUUAUUGAAUCUGAAUCUGCAUAAAUGGUAGCUAUUAUCACAUUAUAUUUCUACUAAAUUAAAUUGGAAGAAAAAUACAAAAAAAGGGGGGAAUAAAGAAGAAAUUCUAGAAAAUAAAAAAAAAGAAAACACCUUAGGAUAUAUUAGAGUUGAGGAGGAAAUGAGAAAUUCAUACCUCCUGGACUUUUCAGACUGUGGUUAAAGAAUGAGAUUUCCCCCAACCCCCACAGAAAGAAUGAGAUUUCCCAUCCUUUUAAUACAUAAAUUGAUUAGGAUAUAAUUCCCCACUGAUGUAGUGGUUAUAAUCAUCACCCCCACACUGUACCCCUAGGUUUACUUUAUUCCAGGUUGUCUCAUUGUCACACUGAGGCCACUGCCUCUGACCUUACAUGGAAUGGGUGUUCUGUUGGGCCCCCCUCCCUCCAGUGCUGACAGCCCCACUCUGGCCAUGGAGAAGAAGUACUGAACCUUCAGCUUGCAGCAAUAUAGUUCAAAGGGGAGAAAGGAAACAAGACUUGCUGAAGGCUUGAGAAAAAGAGACACACCAAACAGCUUACGCCACUUUUAGCUGUGUCUCUUCAUGAGACUCCCAUAUUUGAAGCAAAAUUCACAAUUAUCACUAUAGAUCUUUACAUAGCAGAGUCACCACCCUCCAACCAUCAGGAUCUUUGAUUAUCACAACACAGUAAAGUGUAAACCCAGAAAAUUCUUUUUGGCUCCAGAAAAUGGAAAUUCACCUCACUUUUUUAGUUUUGCUUGGUUUUGUUUUUUCUUUUUUGUCUGGCAUGCAGAAGUUCCCAGGCCAGGGGUUGAACUAAUGCCACAGCAGUGACAAUGCCAGGUUCUUAACCCACUGAGCCACCAGGGAAAUCCUCACCUCAGUUUCUGCUCCAGGAUAAUUGUGGAAAUUUUUCAUUUGCUUCAGGGAAAAUCCUAUACCUCAAUAUGUUUUUUUAAAAAACCCAAGUCUUUAAAAAAAUAAUUACAGUGUUUUACACUGCUAGAUUUUCUGAUACCUUUGCAUUCCGGGGAUAACCAAAUCUGGUCAGGAUUAUUAUUCUUGGGAUGGACUGCUGUAUUAACACAUAUAAUUUUGUAUCUAUCUCCAUGGGAUAAAAUUAUCCACCAGUUGAUCUUUU
rnacentral:lncRNA from 1 species